rnacentral:rRNA from 1 species
AGCAGUGAUAAACAUUAGGCCAUGAGCGAAAGCUUGACCUAAUUAUGGCUAAGAGGGCCGGUAAAUCUCGUGCCAGCCACCGCGGUUAUACGGGAGGACCCGAGUUGAUAAAGCCCGGCGUAAAGCGUGGUUAAGAGCACAAUAAACUAAAGCCGAAGACUAUCAAAGCUGUCGUACGCAUGUCGAGAGCACGAAGAACACUUACGAAAGUAGCUUUAACCAUCUGAGCCCACGAAAGCUAAGGCACAAACUGGGAUUAGAUACCCCACUAUGCUUAGCCGUAAACGCAGGUACGGACAUCACCCCCUACUCGCCAGGGAACUACGAGCGGCAGCUUAAAACCCAAAGGACUUGGCGGCGCUUUAGACCCACCUAGAGGAGCCUGUUCUAUAACCGAUAACCCCCGUUAAACCUCACCUCUCCUAGUCCGUCCAGCCUAUAUACCGCCGUCGUCAGUCUACCCCGUGAGGGUCAAGAAGUAGACAAAAUUGGCACUGCCCAAAACGUCAGGUCGAGGUGUAGCCGAUGGAGAGGGAAGAAAUGGGCUACAUUUUCUCAUAGAGAAAACCACGGAAGACGAACUGAAAACCGCACACGAAGGAGGAUUUAGCAGUAAGCGGGGAACAUAGCGCCCCACUGAAACCGGCCCUAAAGCGUGCACACACCGCCCGUCACCCUCCCCGAAAUUGCACAACACUUACUAAAUAAGAAGCAACAGCCCUAUAAGGGGAGAUAAGUCGUAACAUGGUAAGUGUA